UACACGACUCUCGGCAACGGAUAUCUCGGCUCUCGCAUCGAUGAAGAACGUAGCGAAAUGCGAUACCUGGUGUGAAUUGCAGAAUCCCGCGAACCAUCGAGUCUUUGAACGCAAGUUGCGCCCGAGGCCACUCGGCCGAGGGCACGCCUGCCUGGGCGUCACGA
rnacentral:rRNA from 1 species